rnacentral:rRNA from 1 species
ACGGGAGGCAGCAGUAGGGAAUAUUGCACAAUGGGGGGAACCCUGAUGCAGCAACGCCACGUGUGGGAAGAAGCAUUUCGGUGUGUAAACCACUGUCGUGAGGGAAUAAUGCUCGGUCUCGGCCGAGUUGAAUGUACCUCGAAAGGAAGCACCGGCAAACUUCGUGCCAGCAGCCGCGGUAAUACGAGGGGUGCAAGCGUUGUUCGGAAUCACUGGGCGUAAAGGGCAUGUAGGCGGUCUGUCAAGCCAGGCGUGAAAGCCAGGGGCUCAACCCCUGAACUGCGCUUGGAACUGGCGGACUGGAGUCGCUGAGGGGGAACCGGAAUUCCUGGUGUAGGGGUGAAAUCUGUAGAUAUCAGGAAGAACACCGAUGGCGAAGGCAGGUUUCCAGCAGACGACUGACGCUGAGGUGCGAAGGUGCGGGGAGCAAACAGGAUUAGAUACCCUGGUA